rnacentral:rRNA from 1 species
UACAGAGGUCUCAAGCGUUGUUCGGAUUCAUUGGGCGUAAAGGGUGCGUAGGCGGCGCGGUAAGUCGGGUGUGAAAUCUCGGAGCUUAACUCCGAAACUGCAUUCGAUACUGCCGUGCUUGAGGACUGGAGAGGAGACUGGAAUUUACGGUGUAGCGGUGAAAUGCGUAGAUAUCGUAAGGAAGACCAGUGGCGAAAGCGGCUCUCUGGUCUGUUACUGACGCUGAGGCGCGAAAGCUAGGGGAGCAAACGGG